rnacentral:rRNA from 1 species
CAGUAGCCACGGGAAUACGGAGGAUCCGAGCGUUAAUCGGAAUUACUGGGCGUAAAGCGUGCGCAGGCGGUUAUAUAAGACAGAUGUGAAAUCCCCGGGCUCAACCUGGGAACUGCAUUUGUGACUGUAUAGCUAGAGUACGGCAGAGGGGGAUGGAAUUCCGCGUGUAGCAGUGAAAUGCGUAGAUAUGCGGAGGAACACCGAUGGCGAAGGCAAUCCCCUGGGCCUGUACUGACGCUCAUGCACGAAAGCGUGGGGAGCAAACAGGAUUAGAUACCCGGGUAGUCCCUGUCUCUUAUAC